AACGUUAGCAGGUUUGUGAAAUGAGGGAUCGGCUAAACUCAAACCCUGAAUAUGGGUCCAUUGAUGUGGAAGAAACUCUUUAUUGGGAAGUAAACCAGUUAAAGUUUUAAAAACGAACGCCCUAGCACCUAUCUCAAAUGAGAGACUUCGACAAGGGUACGACAUUUUCUUAAAUUAAGUUGUUGUGCUGCUGCUUCGGUGAUGAAUGUUGCUUCUGAACCUGGAUCUAUCAGCGCUCUCAAAUUCACAAACUCUCCGUUCAAUGACUGAAUCUGAACUACUGCUGUGGCAAGUAGAACGAAAGAAUUCGCUUGAUUUGAGAGGUGAUAACUGCGAGUGGUGUUCGUUGAUGAAGCUUGAUCACUACCUGGAUGAAAUGCUGGAGCGUUUGGAUUGAUUUGUGUUGAUACUGGAUAGCUAUUUUGAUUUGAAACUGGUAUUGGAUUUCUACGAUGUGGUUGUGAAUUGUGCGAAUUAGACGGCUGUGAAUUGUUGAACUGUGAAUCUUGAGAAAAUGAAGGUUGAUUGUUAAAGGACUGCUGAGUAGAAUGAGAAUCGUGUAAAAGUGAGUGAUGUUUCUGUCUGCAGUGAUAACAUCGUUUCUCACUCGGACAUUUGAAUGUUUUAUGGUUGUACAUCCAAAUCUAAAAAUGAGUAACAAGAGCGAAGUGUAUGCUGACCGCGAUGACAUACUGCACAACUACGAGUAUCCUUCCUUGUAGAAUUCAAGUGAAAUACUCUUGGUUUGAAUUUAGAUGGUUCCUUACUAGUGGAAUCUAGUGACUUCAACCCUGAUUGGCAAACAACUUCUAAAGAACGAAAACGAGUUUCCAAAAAAACUGAAAAUUCAUGGAAAGAAGGUAGUUUUUGUAGCAAUGUGAAAAUCACGAAAACAUCCCAACUUUCUACUGGCACACCUAAGUUCUUCAAAGCAUGAAGCACUUCUUUCGAUUUAUCUAACAGACACUUGAUGGAAUCUGACGUUUCAACCUUAAUUAUUGGCUGCUCAAAAAAUGAUUUUAACUCACCCAAAUUUUUAUAACUCGUGAAACUCUUUUUGACUUGAGCACAAGUUUUCUUAAAUAAUUUCAUUGAGGCUGAUUCACUCAUUGUAAUAUAUGUAUCAGGAUAAAUGAUGAAAAUUCCACACGAUGAUUUCGACAAAUUCUCCACAGUUUCUGCACAGUAAUGAUGAACGGUGAUAAUGAUGGCAACAGUUAAAACGGUGACAACGGUAAUAACGGUGACAACGGUAAUGCAGCAACAGUUAUAACGGACAACAGUUAUGAAGCAACGGCAAUCCAAUAUCACAUUUGGUGGUUAAAUUCUCCAAAAAAUAUUGAUUUUCUUUGUUACGUUUAUUGCACUUUGUAUAAUUUGAUAUAAUUACUCACAUGAAUUUAUAAAUUAAUUGUGUUGAUUAAUUGCAGGCUGAGAUGCUGACUGGGUACUUCGCUGGACAGGACACUGUUUGGGAACUCCGCUGGACAGGACACUGACUGGAUGCUCCGCAGGACAAGACAACGUAUGGGUACUUCACUGGACAGUAUGCUCGAUGACGCUCGACGUACA